AGUGAACGCUGGCGGUAGGCCUAACACAUGCAAGUCGAACGGCAGCACAGAGGAGCUUGCUCCUUGGGUGGCGAGUGGCGGACGGGUGAGGAAUACAUCGGAAUCUACUCUGUCGUGGGGGAUAACGUAGGGAAACUUACGCUAAUACCGCAUACGACCUACGGGUGAAAGCAGGGGAUCUUCGGACCUUGCGCGAUUGAAUGAGCCGAUGUCGGAUUAGCUAGUUGGCGGGGUAAAGGCCCACCAAGGCGACGAUCCGUAGCUGGUCUGAGAGGAGGAUCAGCCACACUGGAACGAAGACACGGUCCAGACUCCUACGGGAGGCAGCAGUGGGGAAUAUUGGACAAUGGGCGCAAGCCUGAUCCAGCCAUACCGCGUGGGUGAAGGAGGCCUUCGGGUUGUAAAGCCCUUUUGUUGGGAAAGAAAUCCAUCUGGUUAAUACCCGGGUGGGAUGACGGUACCCAAAGAAUAAGCACCGGCUAACUUCGUGCCAGCAGCCGCCGCCG
rnacentral:rRNA from 1 species